GACGAACGCUGGCGGCGUGCUUAACACAUGCAAGUCGAACGGAAAGUCCCUUCUUUUGUGGGGUGCUCGAGUGUCGAACGUGUGAGUAACCCGUUAGUAACCUGCCCUUGACUUUGGGAUACCUUCAGUAACCUGUGGCUAAUACCGGAUAGGAGCUCCUGCUGCAUGGUGGGGGUUUGAAAGUUUUGGCGGUUGGGGAUGGGCUCGCGGCUUAUCAGCUUGUUGUUGGGGUAGUGUCUUACCAAGUAUUUGACGGGUAGCCGGCCUGAGAGGGUGACCGGCAACAAUGGGACGGAGAAGAGGCCGAGAAUACUACGGGAGGCAGCAGUGGGGAAGAAUGCACAAUGGGCGGAAGACGGAUGCAGGAACGACGCGUGCGGGAGGAAGGACGUCGGGGUGUAAACCGCUGUCGCCUGUGAAGAAGAGGGAGUGACGGUAAUGGGUAAAGAAGCACCGGCUAACUACGUG
rnacentral:rRNA from 1 species